AUUUAGCUAACGAGUCCAAAAUAUGACGAAACAUACGUCCUAGAU
rfam:Schistosoma rodhaini strain Burundi genome assembly, scaffold: SROB_scaffold0001200